rnacentral:snoRNA from 2 species
AUGGAAGUGAUGAUUUUUUCCCCAGAUGAUCGAAGCUGAAAUUACUGAGCGCUUUUUAUGUAUUUUCUCUAAAUCAGGGAUAAUCCAAGCCAGAUAUUCUGAUCCGU